AACAGGAAGUAUCAAAAUCAGACGUAAGACGGGACACAAACACAAACUUCACCAACAUGUAUGACAGUACCGCCCCCCUAAGGCCGAAUUCCAGGCGGCCUUGGAAUGUCCGGAUGGUCUCUGUAAAAAUCUCGAACGAGAUCAGGGUCCAUGAUGAGGCUGGCAGCCAACCCUCCGGGCUGUAUGCCUCCCAGUCUACGAGGUACUGCCAGCCUCUGCCGCGCUUCCGUACUGCCAACAGCUUCUUCACAGUGUAGACCGGACCACCGUCGAUCAUUCGAGGGGGCGGGGGGGGCUUCGGAUCUGGCACCAUACUGCUCUCCUUGACUGGUUUUAUUUUGCUAACAUGAAAUGUGGGGUGAACACGAAGCGACCUGGGCAGGCGGAGGCGUACAGCAGCUGGGUUGAUCACUCUGGACACGGGGAACGGGCCGACGAACCGUGGGGCCAGCUUGCGUGACUCCACCUGCAGGGGCAGUUCCUUGGCCGCGAGCCACACUCGCUGGCCGGGCUGAUAAACCGGAGCCGGUCUCCAUCUGCGGUCUGCUGCCCACUUGACCCUGUCCCCCUGUCUGAUCAGCGUCUGGCGAGUUGCUGCCCAGAUGCAGCGGCGGACCAGGGCGUGAGCAGAGGGCACAGACACCUCUGAUUCGGACUCUGGUAAAAAGGGGGGUUGGUAGCCGAACACACAUUGGAAGGGGGACAUACCAGUGGCGGAAGUGGGGAGGGAGUUAUGGGCAAACUCGACCCACGUCAGGUGCUUGCUCCAGACUGCAGGGCACUGCGCCACCAGGCACCGGAGGCCGGUUUCCAGCUGUUGCUGGGGGCGCUCGGUCUGGCUGUUAGCCUUAGGGUGGUACUCUGAUGUAAGGCUCGCCGUGGCUCCGAUGAGCUUGCAAAACUCCUUCCAGAACCUGGAGACGAAUUUUGGCCCCCGAUCCGACACAAUGUCCCGGGGGAAACCGUGAAUCCUAAAAACACUGUCCAUCAUCACCACUGCCGUCUCCUUAGCUGAUAGCAGUUUAGGUAGGGCUAUGUAGUGCACCAUUUUGGAGAAUCUGUCCACCACAGUCAGGAUAGCGGUGUUACCGUUUGACGUCGGGAGCCCCGUGACAAAGUCUACCGAGAUCUCGGCCCAUGGCCGGGACGGAAUGGGCAGUGGCUGGAGCAAGCCUGCCCGGGUUCUGGAGGAGUUCUUGUUUCUGGCACAGACUGAGCAUGCCUCCACGUACUCCCGGACCUCCGGCUCCAUGGCGGGCCACCAGAACCUCUGCGUGAUGGCAAACAUGGUCCGCCGUACGCCCGGAUGGCAGGUGAGCAGGGACGAGUGAGCCCAGUGAAUCACCUGAGGGCGCAAUUCCACAGGGACAAACAGGCGAUUAUCAGGACACCCACGAGGUGGAGGGGUCUCACCGUUAGCCUGCUUCACCUUGGAUUCUAUUGGCCAGGUCACUGCUCCAACCACACAGUUUAGUGGGAGGAUAGGUUCAGGUGCCCUGGCCACCGACUCGGGGCUGAACAACCGUGACAGAGCAUCAGGCUUGGUGUUCCUUGACCCCGGUCUGUAGGAUAAAGAAGGGGUUAGCGGUUAAAAAACAAUGACCAUCGGGCUUGACGCGAAUUGAGUCGCUUGGCUUUCCUAAUAUAUUGUAGAUUUUUGUGAUCAACAUGUCCAAACCAAAAACGGGUGAGCCCCCUCGAGCCAGUGCCGCCAUUCCUCCAAUGCUGUCUUCACUGCCAGUAUCUCCCGGUCCCCCACGUCAUAGUUCCGCUCUGCUGGCGUCAAUCGCGGGGCAAAAAGGCACAGGGGUGAAGCUUGUGGUCCCCUUCGGCUCGCUGGGAGAGGAUGGCCCCGAUCCCCUCGCUGGAGGCGUCCACUUCCACCACGAACUGACGAGCCGGGUCGGGGAGUGUGUGGAUGGGAGCUGUGGUGAAUCUCCGCUUCAGCUCCCGGAAGGCUGCGUCUGCGUCGGCCGACCAACGGAACGGGACCUGUGGGGGAGUGAGAGCAUGGAGCGGGGCUGCUGUCGUGCUGAAGCCUCUGAUAAACCGCCUGUAGAAGUUGGCAAAACCGAGGAAUUGCUGCAACUUCUUGCGAUUAUCAGGUGUAGGCCAAUCAGCUACCGCACUUACUUUAGCCGGAUCCAUCUGAACCUUUCCAGGAGCUACGAUAAAGCCCAGGAAGGAGACAGUAGUGGCAUGGAACUCACUCUUUUCCGCCUUGACAUAUAGCCCAUUGUCCAAAAGGCGCUGUAGGACGAGCUCGACCUGUCUCUUAUGGGUGUCAAGGUCGGGUGAGUGGAUCAAGAUGUCAUCAAGCGAGCGAUCUUGUCUUCAGCCGAGGACAUUGUCCCACAAACAAGGUCUCAGCAGUUUUGUACUUCAAAUAACCCUCCACCAACUUCAGAGCUUUGGCCUCAAUGCUGUUUUUUAGACGGUGACGCCCCGUGGACUCUGGGAAAAGUCCCCAGUAACACGACUUAGUCUGACACUAGAAUUAAACUCUCAUAGUCCCGUCCUUAUUGUCCACAAACAACGUCCACUAGGUCUGUCAAAAUGCUCAAAAAUGACCUUCGAACAUUCCCUUUAAAAAAACACACAUAUUCUCAUUGCGCUUUAAAUGAACGACAACAAUAAAUAAAUGCUGAUCAAGAGUUUUGUGCAAUUUAAGGUUGUGAUUCUUGUCCCAAAUAUUCAAUCACAAUCAGUGAUUGAAUCAAUUAUUAUUAACAUUAAUUGUUAAUAAUAAAGUAACGACAUUGAACGCUCCCAGCGAGCUGUGCUGGUAAACAUGCAACUUUUCCUUGAAACAGCAAAUAAUCCAACCAGUGCAUGAAGCUGUUGUAGUCUAUUUAAUUCAUGCAAUAUACCGUCAGUAGAGUAGCGACGAGCCCACACUAGUAAUGUUUCUGUUAACGUUAAAUAAAAUGAGCCACACAAUUCCAAGAAAUGUGACGACAAAGAACUUUUACCCGGAAGUUCAUAAAAAAUAAAGUGCCAUUAAAAACGACAGAGGCUACUUACAUUCUUUGUGCUUGUAUAAAUAGGGAAAAACCUGAGUGCAAUUCAUUCCAUUGUCAGGGGUUGUGAGGAGCUUUCAGUGCGCGGUCACUGUCGGGUCUACAGGUUAUUUGCCGUCCACAUUUGAAGGGGCCAGUGCCGACCUAUUUUUAUUGACUAUAUUCCAGCGUUCAGAGCGGACUGCGGAUCCGGGGAUGGAGAGAUAUUUAUUUCCAUCUGGGCAACGUGAGGGGAUCGCCCAGAGCCCAAAGCUUUGCACCACAUGAGAGGAUUUAGUUGAGCAGCUAUUGGAGACUCUCUUUUUGAAGCAGCAGAUUGAUGUCCUGGUCUGGGCUGUCCCUGCAGGACGUGUCUCCAAAGAGACACCCCACAGCAGUUGAAGCAGUUGAAGCAGUUUUCUCAGCAGGUUGCUGAUCACGGGGUUCACUGCCUGCCACAUUCACUGGUUUCAUCUCCUCCAGUAGAGCCACCUGCUGCUCUUUUAAAUGAAUGAGGCCAUGAAAGCCUGGAUCCAGAUAACUGGCUUUGUUAAGCAGCUUAAAUGCAUCCUUUUCCUCGCUAUACCGCUUCUCCACAUCUGUGAUGGUCUAUGUCUUCAUCUGGUUCUGGUUCGCCUGCCUUUGCUUGUUCACAACAUGUUUUAAAGGCCGUUGGACAUUUGUCAGUUGAAAGUGCUUCUGUUGCCCCUUUAAAGGGUUGAAGGACCUCUUGUACCUGCAAUGAAUAACAUAAUAUAAUAUGCGUUGAUAUCAGAUUGACAGGUUUGCAUUUAUCCAUGGUGUAAAUAGGGCCCGUCCUUCUACCUAUUGUUAGGACCGUUUGCAUUUGUCCAGCCUGUCA